rnacentral:rRNA from 1 species
UGCAAGUCGAGCGGGCAUUUUCGGAUGUCAGCGGCAGACGGGUGAGUAACACGUGGGAACGUACCCUUCGGUUCGGAACAACUCUGGGAAACUGGAGCUAAUACCGGAUACGCCCUUAUGGGGAAAGGUUUACUGCCGAAGGAUCGGCCCGCGUCUGAUUAGCUAGUUGGUGGGGUAACGGCCUACCAAGGCGACGAUCAGUAGCUGGUCUGAGAGGAUGAUCAGCCACACUGGGACUGAGACACGGCCCAGACUCCUACGGGAGGCAGCAGUGGGGAAUAUUGGACAAUGGGCGCAAGCCUGAUCCAGCCAUGCCGCGUGAGUGAUGAAGGCCUUAGGGUUGUAAAGCUCUUUUGUCCGGGACGAUAAUGACGGUACCGGAAGAAUAAGCCCCGGCUAACUUCGUGCCAGCAGCCGCGGUAAUACNAAGGGGGCUAGCGUUGCUCGGAAUCACUGGGCGUAAAGGGCGCGUANGCGGCCAUUCAAGUCGGGGGUGAAAGCCUGUGGCUCANCCACAGAAUUGCCUUCNAUACUGUUUGGCUUGA